UGUAAGUAUAAACAACUUGUACUUGUUAAACUGCGAAUGGCUCAAUAAAUCAGUUAUAAUUUAUUUGAUAGUGAUGUAAAGUCUUAAAACAUUUUACUACAUGGAUAGCCGUAGUGAUUCUAGAGCUAAUACAUGCAUAAAGAUCCGACUUGUAAAGGAAGGAUUGUAUUUAUUAGACCGACAAAACCAACUAUAUAUUUUUCCUUUUUAAAUUUUUAUUCAGUUAAAAAUUAAAAAAUAAAAUAUUAAAUGUAAUUGGUGGAAUCAUAAUAAAUUUAGUCGAAUCAGGAUUUAGUUUCUGAUGAAUCAUUGAAAUUUCUGCCCUAUCAACUGUUGAUGGUAGGAUAGAGGCCUACCAUGGUUUUGACGGGUAACGGAGAAUUAGGGUUCGAUUCCGGAGAGGGAGCCUGAGAAAUGGCUACCACUUCCAAGGAAGGCAGCAGGCGCGCAAAUUACCCAAUCCCAAUAAAGUUGGGGAGGUAGCGACAAAAAAUAACAAUGCAGAGUUUCUUUGAAAUUUCUGUAAUUGGAAUGGCUUUAAUGUAAAUGCUUAAAGGAGUAACAAUUAGAGGGCAAGUCUGGUGCCAGCAGCCGCGGUAAUUCCAGCUCUAAUAGUGUAUACUAAAAUUGCUGCAGUUAAAAAGCUCGUAGUUGGAUUUUGGAGGAAACGAAAAGAAUUAAUUAUUUUUUUAAAAGAGCCUUCACGUAAAAAUAGUAAGUUUUUUUUAUUUUAUAAUUUUAAUUUAGUCAAAUAAAUUUAAAUUAUUAAAAUUUAACUUACGGCUCUGUUUCUUCCUAAUUAAUUUUUCGAAGUUCGAUCUUCCCCUUAAUUGGGUUGUAAUAGUCAUUAUUUAAUUAUAUUGACUUUAUUCAGAAGAUUGUUUGAUUUAUUGUAAAAUAAAAAACUUUGGAGAUUUUACUUUGAAGAAAAUGGAGUGUUCAAAGCAGGCGUUUUUUCGCAACUGAACGCAUUAGCAUGGAAUAAUAAAAUAGGACACUUGAUUAAAAUAGCGAUAAUUAUUUUUUUAAUAAUUUUUUUUUUAUUUGCGCGAAAAACUUUUUAAUUAAAGUUUGUAGUUAAAAUGAAAAAAGUUAAUAAAUUAUUUUAUAAAAUAAUUAUAAAGCGUUAAUUGAAAAACACGCUAAUGGGAAAUAAUUACUUUUUAUGAAAGUAAAAAUUAAUUAUUUUUUUUUAGGUGUAAAAUUUUUCACUCCGUUUUGUUGGUUUUUAAAGAUCUAGAUGAAAAUCUAGGUUGUUUGGAACAAGUGUAAUGAUUAAAAGGGACAGUUGGGGGCAUCCGUAUUGCAUUGUCAGAGGUGAAAUUCUUGGAUUUAUGCAAGACGAACGAGUGCGAAAGCAUUUGCCAAGGAUGUUUUCAUUAAUCAAGAACGAAAGUUAGGGGAUCGAAGGCGAUCAGAAACCGCCCUAGUCUUAACUAUAAACUAUGCCAACUAGGGAUUGGAAGGAAGCUCUAAAAUAAUAAACAAUUUUUUAAUUGAGUUUUUUGUGUGAUGUAUAAACGCAAGUUUGUAUGUUUACUAAGAAAUUCAACAAAUUAAAAAAUUGUUGAUUUUAAGCCCCGUCAGCACCUUUAGAGAAAUCGAUCAAGUCUCUGGGUUCUGGGGGGAGUAUGGUCGCAAGUCUGAAACUUAAAGAAAUUGACGGAAGGGCACCACCAGGUGUGGAGCCUGCGGCUUAAUUUGACUCAACACGGGGAAACUUACCAGGUCCAGACACAGGAAGGAUUGACAGAUUGAUAGUUCUUUCUUGAUUCCGUGGGUGGUGGUGCAUGGUCGUUCUUAGUUGGUGGAGUGAUUUGUCUGGUUAAUUCCGAUAACGAACGAGACCUCAACCUGCUAACUAGCUUAAUAAUUCUAUAUUUAAAUAUAUUAAUAAUUAACAAAAUAUUCAUUGUUAUAAGAAAGGCUUCUGCUUUUUCUUUAUUUUCAUUAUUUUUUGUUAUUUGUUGCUUAUGAGAAUAUUUUAAUUAAUAUUGGAUUAAACUUCAAGUCCUUAAAAUAGUGGAAGGGGUUAAAGUGGUGUUUUUGUAGCAAUGGAUUAUUUAGACUAUAAGGGAGAUAUUGAUUUAGUUUGUAGUUGGCAUUUAUUAGAAAUAGUAAAUGUUUUAUUAUUAAAUUAAAAAGAUAUUUUCACGUCUAAGGAAUUAUAAUCUUUUUUUGAUUUUUUUAUAGUAAAAUGUAAAAAAAGAGGAAAAGGAAAAAAAAAGCUUCUUAGAGGGACUACCAUGGUUGCACAUGGGGGAAGCAUGAGGCAAUAACAGGUCUGUGAUGCCCUUAGAUGUCCUGGGCCGCACGCGCGCUACACUGAUAGAGUCAACAAGCUUAAAUUUAAUUUAUUUCCGUAAAAAAGGGGAAUAAUAUUUUAUUAAAUGGAAGGUAAGAAUGUAAGUUUUAAUUUUUGUACAGAGAAAUUUGUGCAAAAAGAGAAAUGAAAUUUUUAUUUUCUUAUUUAAUGAUAUUAUUUCACUUGGAAAGUUUUAAAAUGAAAUCCUUGCCUGAAAAGGUUGGGUAAUCUUUUUAAACUCUAUCGGGAUGGGAAUUGAUCUUUGUAAUUUUGGAUCAUGAACGAGGAAUACCUAGUAAGUGCAAGUCAUCAGCUUGCGCUGAUUACGUCCCUGCCCUUUGUACACACCGCCCGUCGCUCCUACCGAUUGAAUGAUCAGAUGAAAUGUUUGGAUCUAAAAUUUGCAGGUUCGUUUGUAGGAAAAGUUUUAUGUCAAAAGUAAAUUUCUUUGAGAAUCAGUUGAUUUUUAAGAAGAACAGUGAAUCUUAUUAUUUA
rnacentral:rRNA from 1 species